CCUGACCAACAUGGUGAAACCCUGUCUCUAUUAAAAAUACAAAAUCAGCCGGGUGUGGUGGCCCAUGCCUGCAAUCCCAGCUACUUGGGAGGCUGAGGCAGGAGAAUUGCUUGAAUCCAGGAGGUGGAGGUUGCAGUGAGCCGAGAUGGCGCCACUGCACUCCAGCCUGGGCAACAAGAGUGAAUCUCCAUCUCAAAAAAGAAAAAGUAAAGAAAUAAAGAAUAGCUACUCCAUCGCAGAGCAGCCCUGAGGGCUGCUGGUUGGUGAUUUUUGUGGUUGUUUCCUGAUGAUAUGCUAAACAAGGUGGAUUAUUGAUGAGUUUUUCUGUAGAGUGGAGGAGAUUUCCCAGAGUGAAGGGUUCCUCCCCCUUUUAGACCAUACAGGGUAACUUUGAGUCAUGGCCAUGGCAUUUGUAAACUGUCCUGGCACUGGUGGGAGUGUUUUUGAGCAUGCUAACACAUUAUAAUUAGUGUAUAAAGAGCAGUGAGGAUGACCAGAGGUUGCUCUCUUUGCCGUCUUGGAUUUGGUGGGAUUUGUCCGGCUUCUUUACUACAACCUGUUUUAUCAGCAGGGUCUUUAUGACCUGUAUCUUGUGCUGACCUCCUAUCUCAUCCUGUGACUUAUAAUGCCUAACCUCCUGGGAAAUGCAGCCCCAGUCGAUCUCAGCCUCAUUUUACCCAGCUCUGUAUUCAAGAUUCAUUCACCCUGCUUCCAACGCCUCUGACGCUACGUUCCAGGGAUUACGGCAUGAACAUACUGUUUUCAGUACCCUAUCUAGCCCACCAUGUAUUUUCAGAGCUGCCCUUGGCCAUCUGGAAGAUGCACGGUGAACAAAACGGAUGCUUGCUCUCAGCACACACUUCCUUCCCUGACAGUUUGUCGCCUAGCAGAUAUUUUGGCUUCCCAAGGGAAAUCUUGUCCUUUGCCCUGGUGGUACUUACUGAAAAUCAACUCAUCAUGAGGAAGAUUAAUCAGAGAAAAGACAUACAAUUUUUUUUUUUUUUAAACUGUGAGCAUGACGAGAAUCACAGAGUGUAUACCCAAUAUCCCAAUGGGGGCAAAAUACUUCUGUAACCUCCUUUCAGGUGGCGAGAAGGGGACAUGGGAAUGUAGGUAAUUCUGUUGAGCGGUAAUAAGUGAUGACUAGGAAGAUUGAAUGGAUACUUGGGAGAAUGAAUACGGGGAGGAAACAGAGAUUGACUUAUUAAUGGUUCUCUUUGGAAAUUAAAUACUCCUUGGAGACCAGUCAUUACUUUGUAAAAAAGUCUGUUUGAGCGGGCUUACAUCUUAACCUUCUUUCCUGUGGUCAAGAAGAAGAUCCCAGGGAGGGAGGGAAAGUGAAUUGUAAUAAUCCCCACAUGUUCAGGGAGGGACCCUGUGGGAGGUCAUUGAAUGAUGGGGGGCAGGUGCUUCCUGUGUUGUUCUUAUGAUAGUGAUUAAGUCUCACAGGAUCUGAUGGUUUUAUAAAGCCAGGUUCCGCUGCACAUGCCCUCUUGCCUGCCGCCAUGGAAGAUGUGCUUUUUCUCCUCCUUUGCCUUCCGCCAUGAUUGUGAGUCUUCCCCAGCCAUGUGGAACUGUGAGUCCAUUAAACCUGUUUCCUUUAUA